rnacentral:misc_RNA from 1 species
GUCGCCCUCAGACAACUCCGUGUCUUCCCACACUGAACCAAGAGUGCGUGAUAGACUCAACUAUUGACAUGUGCUGUGCAUAACUGUAUUAACACAUUAGAUUUUUGGUUGUUUUCAUUUAUAGAGUGUCUGGUACCAUUUCAUAAAAAAUUUUCAUAAGAGAUUUUGUAAUCAAAUUACACUUAUACAUGGAAUUAUUGGUGCAAGCAUAAUUAAGGUUGUACAUGUACCUUAAAGUCAUUAAACUUAACAAGUAUACUUAAAGUUUACGUUAAGAAAGAACAGUAAUAAUGAUAUAUACGUGUUGGAUUAAAAAAAAAUGUUUUGUCAUUCUAGUCUCGUUUAGAAAGAACAGCAAAAUCAGUGCUAUAUGUAUAUAUUUCUGGCUAGACUUGCAACGGUAGUGAGGCAACACGUAGAAGUUUAUGUUGUUGUAACUGUUUUCCUGUAUAGUUCUUUGAGAUAAGAUUAUACAUAGUAUCAUAGUAAUUAUAAGUCAAGUGCACACAAAUAAAAAUAAACAACUUUUUCAUAU